ensembl:snRNA U6 U6 spliceosomal RNA
GUGCUAACUUCGGGGGCACAAAUACUAAAACAGGAACAUACAGGGAAGAUUAGCCUGGCCUUUGUGCAAGGAUGACAUGAAAAUAGGUAAAAUUCUUGAAGACAGUU